UGUAUCUGAAGCCUGACGAGGAUGAGAACCUCCGGGGGCAAGAGGUUCGACCCGAGCGAAGCGAGAGAACGUUGCGCCAGCAACGGCCCGCAGGGCGAGUCAUCCUCUAUCACCGGCAG
rnacentral:sRNA from 1 species